ACUCCUACGGGAGGCAGCAGUGGGGAAUAUUGCACAAUGGGGGAAACCCUGAUGCAGCCAUGCCGCGUGUGUGAAGAAGGCCUUCGGGUUGUAAAGCACUUUCAGUAGGGAGGAAGGUAGUGUAGUUAACACCUGCACUAUUUGACGUUACCUACAGAAGAAGCACCGGCUAACUCCGUGCCAGCAGCCGCGGUAAUACGGAGGGUGCGAGCGUUAAUCGGAAUUACUGGGCGUAAAGCGCAUGCAGGCGGCCUGUUAAGUCAGAUGUGAAAGCCCGGGGCUUAACCUCGGAAUUGCAUUUGAAACUGGCAGGCUAGAGUCUUGUAGAGGGGGGUAGAAUUUCAGGUGUAGCGGUGAGAUGCGUAGAGAUCUGAAGGAAUACCAGUGGCAAGGCGGCCCCCUGGACAAAGACUGACGCUCAGAUGCGAAAGCGUGGGGAGCAAACAGGAUUAGAUACCCUGGUAGCU
rnacentral:rRNA from 1 species